GUCUUCAUUUUCUUCUUCGGAAGUGUGUGGUUCUAGUGAGGGUGAUGGGUCCACCUGAGUAGAGAAUUGUCCUUCUCCCUCGGCCACAAGGGGUUCCUGAAUGGGGAGUAUUUGACCAAUCCCCAUUCUUCUUAUGGCUUGAGGAGGAAUUUCAUCACCUACAUCACAAAGACAACUUUGCUCCACUUGGGAGCCAUUAUUCUCAUCAAACUCCAUGUUACACGUCUCCUCAAUGAGUCUGGUGAACUUGUUGAGAACACGGUAAGAAUGGGAGUUUG
rnacentral:lncRNA from 1 species